CCCCUAGACGUUCUGGGCUGCACGCGCGCUACAAUAAUACGCACAGCGAGUAUCACCGAGCUCGAAAGGGCAAGGUAAACAAUAGAAAAGGUACUGUAAUGGUUAUAGAUCCUUGUAAUUAUUGAUCUUCAACGAGGAAUUCCUAGUAAGUAUGUGUCAUCAUCACGCACUGAUUACGUCCCUGUCCUUUGUACACACCGCCCGUCGCUCCUACCGAUUGAGUGAGCCGAUGAAACUGCCGGAUGUGGACUAUUCAUAGUCUGCAGAAGAUAUUUGAAUCGUAGCGCUUAGAGGAAGGAGAAGUCGUAACA
rnacentral:rRNA from 1 species